GCAUGUGGCUUAGUGGUAGGGAGCAGGGCUCGUAACCGAAAGGUUGCUGGUUCGAUUCCCCCCUGGUGCA